UUGCGCACCAGCCACAGGUCUCAGCUGGGCACUCCUGAGCUCUGUGCUGCAACCUUGGGGCAUUGGGCUCUGUCUUUCGGCCCCUCGGGGUCAGACCCCUGCUGUGUUGGGGGAUCCGAAGUGCUCCCAAGCUGCCUGGAAAGCAUUCAGGCGGGGUCGCUAGCAAGAACUCAGGCUGGGCAGCGGAGGCGGCACAGUGCACACACUCCUGCAGGAACAACCAGACAGGGGCUUUGGGAGGGGCUGCGUGCAGGGGGUCCCGCAGAACAUAUGCGCCCCAGUCCCGCAGGAAGGACCGCCCUGCUCUCUCUUGGCUCACUGGUGGGGACAGCACUUCCUGGAAUAACGUUGCUUUGGAUUUAACAACAGUUGGGCAAAGGAGGUCGGUAUACAGAUACAGGACAAGAAGAGUGGUGUCAAAGGGAGGCUAAAUCAUUGGUUCUGGCUUCAUCUAAGGAAUUCUUAUGAGAAAUCGAGGGAGAGACUGUCCUGGGAAGUCUGAUGAAACAUGAUCAAGAUAUUUUAACUUCUGUGUUUAGCGCCUUUAAUAGAUUGAGCUAAGAAGUCUAAGCAAUCUUCAGGGCUAAGAAACAAGCUGCACUUGCCAGAGUUGGAUGUUCACACCUUGGUGAUGGCUGAUAUUAAACAGAAUUCUUAAUGAACAAAUCGGCCUUGAAAAGGGAACAUGGUGAAGCAAGACAAAAGAAUUACAAACUUUGACUGAAACUUUCUCCUACCAGGAAUACAGGGACCGCUCACCAGGUUGUGAUGAGAAGGAUCAUCUGAAAUGCUCCAUUGCUCUCAGAAGUUGAGGUAACUUCAUUGGGCCCAAACUGAUAAACUAGGAAUGGCUCAGAAAAUAGCCCCUUAGAAGAACUGUAUGAAGCUUGGAUCCAUUUUUCUGAGAAAAAAGAAAAAUCCCUCCAAUGAUUUGGUGAGGAGUUGAAGACAAAUAUCUUUAUUAUUUAUAAGUAUUCUGGCCAAGACAAUGAGUGUUGGAGUGGGAGGAUGAGGGAAUUUUAUGAUGAACGACAGCACAGCAAGAUGGACAGUAAGGCUCUGUCAUUGCCAUACCAGAUGUACAGAAGUGUUGAUGGUUGUUUCUAGUUUGGGGCUAUUAUGAAGAAAGCUGCUAUGAAGAACAUCCAUGUACAAAUCAUUUUAUGGACACACAUACUCAUUGCUCUUGGGUAAAUAUCUAGGAAUAUGAUUUAUGGAUCAUAGAUACAAAUUUCCCACCAUUCUGGAUUCUGACACCCAACAGAAAGACUGUUAUUUGGCAUCAUGUGAAUUAGCCAGGAGACCUCUAAUUUCCAGCCAUUUCCUCUGGUCUGACCCCUAAACUCAGCUCAUCUGGUUUCUCGUUUCUGAGGGGACAAACACUUCCUAAAAGGCAGACCCUCUGGGGUUCUGAGGAGACCGUCCCUGACAUUGUUUUUACUUCAAGACUACAAGCGAAUGAAAAACAGCUACCUCUCACAAGAGGGCUGGAGCCCUUGAUACAGAACAGAUCUCCAACUGGCUUUUGGACUAAAAUAACUGAACCAACAAGAUAUUUUAGAGGUGAUUAUUUGUUGCAUUUCUCAAAUUAUGAUGAAUUUUAUAGACCCAUAUCUCAUAGGUAUAUCUGUCUUAAUCCUAAAUUAGGGAUUAGUACACUUUUUUUUCCCACAAAUCAUUUUAAGUGUGGAAAUAAUCCCAUAAAUCCCAUCACCCCAUAAGGUUAACUCAUCAAAAUCCUUUCAUCGAGGACUAGGAUUAUACUCUAUCCCAAAUCAAGCCAAGUAAAUAUAGAUGAUGCCAGACCACUAAACAAUGUUUUCUAGAACUCUAAAAGUGCAGAGUAAAUAUCCCUCCUUGGGCCACAUGUGUGGUCUGGUAUGAAGAAAGAGCUUUGGAGGAUGGAAUAUAAGCACUAAUGCUCACUGGCUGUGGGGUCCAGGUGAGUCACUUACACUCCCAGGAAGUCAGUGCCCAAUGUCAUGAGAACUUACUAAAGCCCAUGGCUCAUAACAGAGUAUGGUGGACAAUAAAGAGUAGCUGUAAAUUUUUAUUGGCUGGAAAACUCUUAGAGAACAGAGCAUGUGUAUUUAUCUUUGUAGUUUAUCAUAAUGGCACGUACAAAUCCUUUAUAAACAUCUGUUUAUUGGAGAAAAAACCUACUUAUAUGUCUCAAAAAUUGUGUACAUCUGUUAAGACUUUCCUUGUAUUGCCAAGUCAAUCCUAAGCCAAAAGAACAAAGCUGGAGGCAUCACACUACCUGACUUCAAACUAUACUACAAGGCUACAGUAACCAAAACAGCAUGGUACUGGCACCAAAACAGAGACAUAGAUCAAUGGAACAGAACAGAGCCCUCAGAAAUAACGCCGCAUAUCUACAACUAUCUGAUCUUUGACAAACCUGAGAAAAACAAGCAAUGAGGAAAGGAUUCCCUAUUUAAUAAAUGGUGCUGGGAAAACGGGCUAGCCAUAUGUAGAAAGCUGAAACUGGAUCCCUUCCUUACACCUUAUACAAAAAUCAAUUCAAGAUGGAUUAAAGACUUAAACGUUAGACCUAAAACCAUAAAAACCCUAGAAGAAAACCUAGGCACUACCAUUCAGGACAUAGGCAUGGGCAAGGACUUCAUGUCUAAAACACCAAAAGCAAUAGCAACAAAAGCCAAAAUUGACAAAUGGGAUCUAAUUAAACUAAAGAACUUCUGCACAGCAAAAGAAACUACCAUCAGAGUGAACAGGCAACCUACAAAAUGGGAGAAAAUUUUCGCAACCUAGUCAUCUGACAAAGGGCUAAUAUCCAGAAUCUACAAUGAACUCAAACAAAUUUACAAGAAAAAAACAAACAACCCCAUCAAAAAGUGGGCGAAGGACAUGAACAGACACUUCUCAAAAGAAGACAUUUAUGCAGCCAAAAAACACAUGAAAAAAUGCUCACCAUCACUGGCCACCAGAGAAAUGCAAAUCAAAACCACAAUGAGAUACCAUCUCACACCAGUUAGAAUGGCAAUCAUUAAAAAGUCAGGAAACAACAAGUCCUGGAGAGGAUGUGGAGAAAUAGGAACACUUUUACACUGUUGGUGGGACUGUAAACUAGUUCAACCAUUGUGGAAGUCAGUGUGGCGAUUCCUCAGGGAUCUAGAACUAGAAAUACCAUUUGACCCAGCCAUCCCAUUACUGGGUAUAUACCCAAAGGACUAUAAAUCACGCUGCUAUAAAGACACAUGCACACGUAUGUUUAUUGCGGCAUUAUUCACAAUAGCAAAGACUUGGAACCAAGCCAAAUGUCCAACAAUGAUAGACUGGAUUAAGAAAAUGUGGCACAUAUACACCAUGGAAUACUAUGCAGCCAUAAAAAAUGAUGAGUUCAUGUCCUUUGUAGGGACAUGGAUGAAAUUGGAAAUCAUCAUUCUUAGUAAACUAUCGCAAGAACAAAAAACCAAACACCGCAUAUUCUCACUCAUAGGUGGGAAUUGAACAAUGAGAACAUAUGGACACAGGAAGGGGAACAUCACACUCUGGGGACUGUUGUGGGG
ensembl:lncRNA novel transcript, antisense to TSHR